AUGCAGCUAACAUUGUCAAGAGUGUUGUAAAUGGAGCGGACAGUCCUUUGUUCUUCGAGCUGGUGUGUGAAGUCUCAUACCCCGUGGCUGAGGGCAUUACCAACCUAAGUCUUACUGCUUUCAACAAUGUCGCAUCACUUAUUUUCUCGGGGUUCUCUCCAUCAGAAAUAUUGGCACCGUCUGGAUGAACUGGUUCCUGAUUGCUGCGUUCUCAGUCUCCAUCCUGCUGCUGAUGCUGUUGGGGGAGGGUAAGAAACGGUCUGAUGUUGACGUGGAUGAAGUUCAAGGUGAUGAGGAGAAUCUUUAAGAGGAGUGUAUGACCACAGACAGACCGGGUUCAUUACUGUGCGAUGCUGAUGCUGAUCUGGAGCAGCGCUUUCCGACAUGAUGGACAUUGACAGAGAACAUCAACAAUUUCUACCUGUCUGGUUCGUUCAGGAUAGUGGGAUGCAGAGCGUUGUUUGUAUCUGCCUGAUUCGUGAUGUAUUGUGUAAUGUCAAAAUGCCAUAUAUGUAGUGGGCAUCCCUUAGAUGAACAUCUUCCAUAUACAUGAAGGGACAAAUCCCUUAGAUACCCAUAUUGCAAAUACAUAAAGAGCCACAUCCCUUAGAUCCCCAUGUUACACAUACAUAAAGAGAGUCCACACCCCUUCGAUCCCCAUGUUACACAUCCAUAAAGAGUCACACCCCUUAGAUCCCCAUGUUACACAUCCAUAAAGAGUCACACCCCUUAGAUCCCCAUGUUACACAUCCAUAAAGAGUCACAUCCCUUAGAUCCCAUGUUGACAUUUCACUACCUCUUGUUUACCGCGUGAAGCCCAUUUCUGGUGUCCCCCGCCGUUAUGUUGAUGGAAUAUUGCUAAAAGCGGCGUAAAACCAAACCCAGUCAGUCAGUCAGUUGUUUACCGCACCAGAAUAAACCCUUGUAGACCUAGA